GUUCCCUCUCUCAGCCUUUGCUUAUUCAGCUGCCCUCCCUCUCUGCACAUCUGAGAAAUGCUAUAAGACUUCCCUGUACCCCAAGUAGUGGCUGCAUUGUUGGAGGCUGUCACAUAUUCUUGUACCAGCAGAAGUCACGGAGCCUUCCCCAGUAUCUCCUGAGAUACUACUCAGACUCAAGUAAGCACCAGGACUCUGGGGUCCCCAGUCACUUCUGUGAAUCCAAAGAUCCCUCGGGCAAUGUGCAGGGAUUCUGCACAUUUCUGAGCAGCCUGAGAUCAAGUCCGACUAUUACUAUUUUACAUAUCACAGCAACAGUGGCACUUU